rnacentral:ncRNA from 1 species
UAUAUUUGCGCCGCUGAAUAGCAUACAUAAAAAUCAUUUAAAAUAAUAUUGGCAUG